rnacentral:rRNA from 1 species
AUACGUAGGUCCCGAACGUUGCGCGAAAUUACUGGGCGUAAAGGGUCCGUAGGCGGUCUGGUAAGUGGAAGGUGAAAGCCUGGGGCUCAACUCCAGAAUUGCCUUCCAAACUGCCGGACUUGAGGCAGGGAGAGGUCGGCGGAAUUCCCGGUGUAGCGGUGAAAUGCGUAGAUAUCGGGAGGAGCACCAGUGGCGAAGGCGGCCGACUGGAACUGUCCUGACGCUGAGGGACGAAAGCCAGGGGAGCGAACCGGAUUAGAAACCCUAGUAGUCC